GGCCUCAAAAUGAUACUCCAUUUGGUUAAGGAAUCCCCUGCAUUUUGAUGGUAUCCAAGAAUGCAGGGGAUUCCUUAACCAACUGGAGUACCAUUUUGAGGC
rnacentral:miRNA from 1 species